rnacentral:rRNA from 1 species
CUCCCGGGUGAUCCCGCCGGACCCGACUGCUAUCAGAGUGGGACUAAGCCAUGCGAGUCGACGUAGCAAUGCGUGGCGAACGGCUCAGUAACACGUAGUCAACAUGCCCAGGGGACGUGGAUAACCUCGGGAAACUGAGAAUAAACCACGAUAGGUCACGAUUUCUGGAAUGGAUCAUGGCCUAAAUCUACAUGGCCCCUGGAUUGGACUGCGGCCGAUCAGGCUGUUGGUGAGGUAAUGGCCCACCAAACCUAUAACCGGUACGGGCUCUGAGAGGAGAAGCCCGGAGAUGGGCACUGAGACAAGGGCCCAGGCCCUAUGGGGCGCAGCAGGCGCGAAACCUCUGCAAUAGGCGAAAGCCUGACAGGGUUACUCUGAGUGAUUUCCGCUAAGGGGAUCUUUUGGCACCUCUAAAAAUGGUGCAGAAUAAGGGGUGGGCAAGUCUGGUGUCAGCCGCCGCGGUAAUACCAGCACCCCGAGUGGUCGGGACGAUUAUUGGGCCUAAAGCAUCCGUAGCCGGUUCUGCAAGUCUUCCGUUAAAUCCAGCCGCUCAACGGAUGGGCCGCGGAGGAUACUACAGGACUAGGAGGCGGGAGAGGCAAGCGGUACUCAGUGGGUAGGGGUAAAAUCCUUUGAUCCAUUGAAGACCACCAGUGGCGAAGGCGGCUUGCCAGAACGCGCUCGACGGUGAGGGAUGAAAGCUGGGGGAGCAAACCGGAUUAGAUACCCGGGUAGUCCCAGCUGUAAACGAUGCAGACUCGGUGAUGGGCUAGCCUUGUGCCAGCCCAGUGCCGCAGGGAAGCCGUUAAGUCUGCCGCCUGGGGAGUACGGUCGCAAGACUGAAACUUAAAGGAAUGGCGGGGGAACCC